GGACACAGUGAAAGCAGUGCUGAAAGGAAAAUUCAUAGCACUAUGUGCUCUGGUAAAGAAACUGGAGAGAUCUUACACUAGCAACUUAACAACACACACAAAAGCUCUAGAACAAACAGAAGCAAACACACCCAAGAGGAGAAGGCAUGAAAUAGUCAGUCUCAGGGCUGAAAUCCACCAAGUAGAAACAAAGAGAACUAUACAAAGAAUCACCAAAAUCAAAAGUUGACUCUUUGAGAGAAUCAACAACAAAGAUAAACCACUAGACAAACUAACUAAAAGGCUCAGAGGCAGUAUCCAAAUUAACAAAAUCAGAAGUGAAAAGGGUGACAUAACAACACAAAGAGGAAAUCCAAAAAAAUCAACAGAUUCAACUACAAAAACCUAUAUUCAACCAAACUAGAAAAUCUAGAUGAAAUAGAUGAUUUUCUAGACAGAUACUAUAUUCCAAAGUUAAAUCAUGAGUAGAUAAACUAUCAAAACAGGCCCAUAUCCACUAAGGAAAUUGGAGAAGUCAUUAAAAAACCUUACAACCAAAAAGAAAAAAAAAAAG
rnacentral:lncRNA from 1 species